UUUCCAGAUUAUGUGGUGCAGGAAGAGAAAAUACGCAUUCCCAAGGGUGCAUCCAGCAAAGGUGCAUGGGCAUAAACAAAGGCCCAUGUCCGAAGUAUAUAUGAAAUUGGAGGUGUAUACAACAUGAUUGUGGGCCAAAAGGUCCAGAGCCACAAUAGGCCAUGCUGAAUAGAAUGAAGAGUAUUGACGAAAUGGAGUGGUGACUCAUCAAGGCCACUGACAUGUGCGCAUUUGCCCAGGAAAUGGACACGUUAAACAUGUGAGUCACGCGUUGAAGAAAAACUCAGAAUUAAAGUUCAAAUGUGAUUCUCUCUCCAUAGGACUCAGCUUCUCUCCGUCGCGUCGGAAUUCGUCACGGGGGUGGCGGAGUCUAAACUACCAAAACCAAACGUCAAUCUCCUCGUUUCCACACCCUGGUCCUAAAUCCACCCUCAAUUUCCCCCCAAUUAUGAAUGAAUCAACUAAACCGAAGUCAUUUCUUUUCUGAACCCUAAAUGCUAAAACACGAAUUAAAUGAUGCUCAUGAUCUAAAGAUCAAACCAUAGGGCUUUGGCUCCCAAGAUGAGGCACUACAUUGUUGAUAUCUGUAGAUUGGAGAAAAAAAGUGGAAAAGAAUUACCUACUGGAGCAACUCCGGUGGUUCUUCGUCCGUGAAAAGAAGGUUCAGGUAACACAUUCUUCCUUGUUCAACCUCUACUUCAUGCCUUCUUCUUCUCGUUCAUCACUCUAUUGCGCUUAUAUUGUUGUUCUGAGAGUUGUGUAAAAUGAGGAUUUGUGAGAGAAUUUGAAUGUGAGUGAGAGAUUAUGGAGAGAGUUCGUAAAUGAAUUAGAGAGUGAAAGGUGAAUUUCUGAAUAAAAAACUGAAUCAAUCGAAGAGUGAGCAUGGAAGCUAUAUAUAUAUAUAUAGAUAUAUAUAUAUGUGUGUGUGAUUCGAUCCGUUAAUUCUGUUAAUUCCUUCGGUGCAAAAGUUAUUGAACGUUUGUUAACAGGGUUAAAGGUUGUUAAUUGUUAGUUAGAAGGAUUGUUAACUGUUAGUUAGAAGUUAGUUUCAAUUACUCGAAUCCUGUCAGUUAGGUUGCCUGGAAUUAAAUCAGUUAAAUGAGAGUUUUGUUAGCAUGGUUUUUUCUGUUAUUGUUAGCAAUAUUGUCAGUUAUUGAUCUGUGGUUAGUUGUAAAUAAUGGUUAGUAGUAGCUGCUGAAAUCGGUUUUGUGGAUGUCUCUGUUUCUGUUAAUUAUGCAUUGCCUUCUUGAUGUGGUAUACUGAUAUGAAAGUUUUCAUCUGCAUGUUACGCAUUGAUGGUUGUUAAUGUUAUGUAAGGUUAAAUUGGUUGUUUGUUGGUUGCUGCAAAAUGUUACGAAAUACUGAAAAAUGUUGAUGGUUGUUAAGUUAGGUUAGUGUUUUUUUUUUUUCCAGCAGAUGCAAUAUGGGAGCCAUUUGAUACUACAUCUGUCUCAUAAAAAAUGUCUUAUUUGAACAAUUCAUGGUUCUUAAGGAAAUGAUUGGAUAUGUUGGUUUUGAUGAUAAAUUAAGACCAUUUACUAGAAUAUCCCUAUUAAUUGUAGUUAAAAGAGUGGUUGAAUAAAGUGAAAGUUAAUAAAUAGGGGUAUGAUAGUGGAAAAAUAAUAAUAAAUGAUACAUUGAUAUUAUAAAAGGACAAUUAUUUUGAGACAAAGAAAAAGUGCAAAUGAGACAAUUUUUAUGAGACGGAGGGAGUAACUCGGUUGAGAUGUCCAAGUCACUCCAUCAUGUGAAGAGAUUAGAUGCAAAUGGCCCAAGCGGUUCAGUAGUUGCCCCUCUCGGGCUUUCCAACGAUUCAAUAGUGCUUCACGAAAUAUAUUAUUUAAAAUAUUGCCAAACAUAUUAUGUGUAUUCAAUUUCCGUCUCUUAGGAACUCUCGCUUUAAGUGAAUGUAAUGAUGACGACAAUGGUUUGCAAAUCUAAAUGAGCAAGAUGAUCUCAAUCUUCAAGCAUAGGCAUCUUGGAAAACACAUCAUAACCUUUGAAAGCCUUGGAGCAGCAUUUCUGACUUUCCAUUGGUUGGAAUUGAAUUGGCUUUGGGAUAUGAACUCGACAUGUUGUAAUUUUUAUAAUUUGAAAUUGAAAUAUGAAUGUUGGUUUGUUGUAUUUGAAUUUGUGAAUGAAAAUGUGAAAUCGAAUGAAAUAAUUUGAAUUGAAGAUGUUGUAUGGUUUGAAUGAAAAAUGGAGGGAAUGGAAUUUGGAAGUUGAAUUAAUGAUUGGUUUGAUGGGUUUGAAGAUGGAAAUUGAGAUCUUGAUUGAAUAUGUAUGGAAUUUGGUUUAUGUAGAAUAUACUUGAAUGAAUUUGGAAGUGGAAUUGGCUUGAAAGGUUUAUGUAUUGUAAUGUUUUUU
rnacentral:lncRNA from 1 species